AGGAACUCGUGAAAUGCCAUCCUCGACCUGCCACGCGCGAACCCCUUUACUACCAACUACCAAACGAAACGAAGGCACAGGAAACAGAGCCACCAUCGCAGCCAUGGCGAAGCGAGUCGGCAGCCGGAACUCGAACGAGUCCGCAUUGACUCGGGGCGUCAAGUCGGUCUUUCGCUUCGUUCGAUUCGCCGAGUUCGAAAUCCUCUUUGUUCUUUUCUUCGUAAUCGCUUUCAUCAUUUUCAAAGAUCUCACAUCAAAGCCGGAAUACAGUCAGAUUCUCGUAAAAAAGCCCGGUGGCGUUAGUAUUUGGCCUUACUAGCGGAAUAUGUCAUCGUUGGAUAAACAUUUGGUAUAUCAUUCGGAUUUUCUUGAACUUUUUUGUAACACAACAGAUUAUCUUGCCAUCCAUGCAUUUGUAUUUGUAUCUGUACAUGUAAUUAUAUGACGAUUAAACAACAGCUUUCAAUA